rnacentral:rRNA from 1 species
AGCGACUGUGCAGGUUACCGCGGCUGCUGGCACGGAGUUAGCCGGUGCUUCUUCUGUGAGUGAUGUCCUUCCUGCCGGUUAUUGACCCGCAGGCCUUCUUCCUCACUGAAAGUGCUUUACAACCCGAAGGCCUUCUUCACACACGCGGCAUGGCUGGAUCAGGGUUGCCCCAUUGUCCAAUAUUCCCACUGCUGCCUCCCGUAGGAGUCUGGGCCGUGUCUCAGUCCCAGUGUGGCUGAUCAUCCUCUCAGACCAGCUACGGAUCGUCGCCUUGGUGAGCCGUUACCUCACCAACCAGCUAAUCCGACAUAGGCUCAUCCGAUAGCGCGAGGCCCGAAGGUCCCCCGCUUUCCCCCGUAGGGCGUAUGCGGUAUUAGCCUGGGUUUCCCCAGGUUAUCCCCCACUACCGGGCAGAUUCCUAUGCAUUACUCACCCGUCCGCCGCUCGCCACCAGGGAGCAAGCUCCCCGUGCUGCCGCUCGACUUGCAUGUGUUAGGCCUGCCGCCAGCGUUCAAU